rnacentral:rRNA from 1 species
UACGAAGGGGGCUAGCGUUGUUCGGAAUCACUGGGCGUAAAGCGCACGUAGGCGGAUUGUUAAGUCGGGGGUGAAAUCCUGAGGCUCAACCUCAGAACUGCCUCCGAUACUGGCAAUCUCGAGUUCGGAAGAGGUUGGUGGAACAGCUAGUGUAGAGGUGAAAUUCGUAGAUAUUAGCUAGAACACCAGUGGCGAAGGCGGCCAACUGGUCCGACACUGACGCUGAGAUGCGAAAGCGUGGGGAGCGAACAGG